rnacentral:lncRNA from 1 species
CAAGCAUCAUCAUCUUCAUUGCAGGCUUAAAAAUGAAUACCAGUUUAUGCACCAGUACAAAUUUAAUCAGACUCUAAUGUGCGCUUGCUGAAACACAAUCAAUGCUUGCAACACAUUAUUCCAGUUGAUUAAAAAAAAUGUAACAUUAAGAAUAAGCAAUUGGCAUAACAUUAUAAUGGAUAUUAAUUGUCAGGUUUUGAGAGUCUGUGUCAUGUUCCCGACGGCUUCUAGCAACAAACCACAUCUUCCAAUAAGCAGAAUGAGUUAAGAGGGGAGCAAAGCAGAGAGUGUCUUCCAGGGGUGCCCAUUCGUCAGCGUCAGCAGGAGACAAGCGGCUGCUAAAUAAACCCAGCUCCCUCUUUCUGGUCUCCAGGAAUCCACAAGGGAAGCAGAGCAGGAAACGAGUAGAGAAGCAAGGAGCCGACUCAGCAUCAGCCUCUGAGUUGGGCAACUUAUCAGAUCUGAAAGCUGGAGUGGCUUACUGGACGUCUGUGGGAAGAUUGAAGACACACUGCCCAUGCCCAAGGUUAGGCACAGCAUCCAGG